AUCAAAUAUGACCUGUCCAGGAUGCCAAUGGUCCAGCAAUGCCAGCCUUUGGACACCGAGCCUGCAACUUCCUGGUAACAGCCAACUGACCGGGAUUCUGUAAGGCCCUUCCCCUUACAGGAAGGACUCCCUCCGUACUGCACCCCCUCUUUCAGGGCACCC